rnacentral:lncRNA from 10 species
CCUCAGCAUAGCUUAGAAAAUAAUUUACUAAAAUGACAUCAAAGAAUCUCAUUAAAUGUAUGUGAUAUUAAAAUUUAAAAUAUUAAUAUAUAGUUUGAUCCAUAUUAUGAAUCAAAAUUUUGUCUGCAAUUGACACCCCUUUUAAAUUUUUGCUAAAUUGGUAUUACCCAUCUAGGCUUUUCUUUUAGAGGAAAGAAAGGAAGUGUGCUGCUGCUCAUUACACCAUGAAAUACAUAAACACAGUCCCAGGACCAUCCCACCUUUUAAAUAAAAAUCCACACUGAAGGUUUUAUUCCUCUUAAAUACUGUUUAGUGUCCUUCACAACUUUCCCGGGAGAUCAGGAAGAGUGAGUUCAGUGCUAUACUUUGGAUGUGAAACAGUGAGACAAUUUGAGCCAACAUAUUGGUUAGAAGGCAAUGCAAAAUGCCCACUGAGAUCUUGGAGCAGAGCUUGUCUAAUCGGUGUUUGUGUUUAGAUUUGAUAGAAGGAUCACAGGAGCAUCUGUAUCAUAAGGGACCUGAGCCAAUCUAUUUUGGAGAAACAUUCUGAGGGAAAGGUAAUUCAUUCUGCCAGUGAAACAGUGACUGUGGGGUCACUGGAGUGAAUUGUUUUCCAAGUACUAUGAUCAUAGUUCCGAAACUGUUUCUCUCACCUGAAUCCACUACAAGAUUGAACCCUGUGAGAACAUAAGGCACGAUAGCUGAUUCUAAUCUGAAAUCAGACCAAGGAUUCCGGGGGGAAAUCUGAAUUGUAAGAAGGAAUGUGUGAGAGUCACAGGCUGCCAAAAGUCAGCUUUCACAGACAGAUGAAAUUCUGAAAUCUAAUAAUCAUUAGAGUAGUGUUCUUUAUGGAAAAUGAGUAAUUCACAGCACUAAAAUUUAAAUGAUAGAAAAAUAUCUAUAGGGAGGAUCAAAUCAUAACUAAACUACACAGUGAAGGAAAGGCUUUCUGCUGAAAGCACUAUGGAAGGGUAAAUAUCUUCUCUAAGAAAGGGCUAAAGCCCACUGCUUUGAAAGUUCUUAUGCUCCCUGGAAGCCUAAGAGCUUUCUCCUUCAUAACUAACCCAAGCUUGUUUUAAGCCUGGCAGCCAAAGGGUCCCUAUGUUGGAUGACCCUUCUAUGCCCUCUACUGAAUCUUGUGUGGUCCCCAAACAGGCCAGCACACAUCUGACAGUGGUCGGGGCCAAUUUCCCAUUCACAUGUGUGUUCUCAGGCCUGAGAGCAGGGUUGGGUGUGCUCUGACAUAGUCAUGUCCUCUAGACCGCCUCCCCCUACUCUUGUCUAAAUGCAUAAGUCGAGUCACUGAAGGGCCAUCGCUGGCCUCUCCUGACAUUCUCCCCUCCAGAUGACCGGGUGAGUCAGGAAGGUGUUUCCUCGGGAAGCUGGGGGCCCAAGCCAGCCAGUUUCAGCCAUCGUUACUGAGUAAGAACAUGCUGUGCUCAGCCUGUUGGCUCCACUCUUGAGCACAAAGUAUGUGUUACAACAACAAGCACAAGAAUACUGACCACACGCUUCCCUAUCUCUAGAUCUGUAAUGAGAACAUUUGAAGUAAAUACAUACAAUCAAGAAACAGUUCUGUAAGGCAGAAAUUGAACAGAGUUUCUGAUUUGUAGCCCUGAGACACAGCUUCUUGUACUCUGUGAAUCCAGACCCCACAGGUUAUGGAAGAAAAGCAACAGACAGAAGAUGGGAAAAACAGGUCACGUUUAUAAGACCAGCUUGAAGACCAUGCCACACUGAGGAGUUUGGUUUUUCGUUAGGCAAAGAAACUAGCUGUUUUUUCUUCAAUGUUCAUCGGAAAACUUGCCCAGCAGCUGUGAGUGACUCUUCAGCUUUCGAAUCAUUGUCUUGGAAUCUUCUAAACCAGGACUUUAAAAAAUACUGUAACGGUUAAUAUUGAGUGUCAACUUGAUUGGAUUGAAGGAUGCAAAGUAUUGUUCCUGGGUGUGUCUGUGAGGGUGUUGCCAAAGGAGAUUAACAUUCCAGUCAGUGGACUGGGAAAGGCAGACCCACCCUCAAUCUGGGUGGGCACCAUCUAAUCAGCUGCCAGUGUGGCCAGAAUAAAGCAGGAAAAUGUGGAAGGACUUGACUUGCUGAGUCUUCUGGUCUUCAGCUUUCUCCCAUGCUGGAUGCUUCCUGCCUUAGAGCAUUGGACUCCAGGUCUUCAGCUUUUGGACUCUCGGACUUACACCAGUGGUUUGCCAGGGGCUCUCAGGCCUUUGGACACAGACUGAAGGCUGCACUGUCGGCUUCCCUACUUUUGAGGUUUUGGGCUUCCCUACUCCUCAGCUUGCAGAUGGCCUAUUGUGGAACUUUACCCUGUGAUCAUAACUCUUUUUGCCCAACAGAAUGUGGACAGCAGAACUGCUUUAUAAAUUGGGAGGAAGGCACACCUGGAAGAUGGUGAUGCCAGCACAAUGGGAAAUGUGCCAGUGUGUAGAAUUCUUCUCUGGUCUUUGUAAAUAGAAAUGCUCACUUUCUAUGUGAAACACCUAAAUGAUUCGAUGCCAAACGCAGAAUAAGUUUAAAGGUAGAACAAGCAAAUAGCUAAACAAGGGAGUGUUUCAGAAAGGAAAUAUGUCAAGCCUUGGCUCAAAAGCAAAACAGUCUUUUCAUGAAGGGAAGUGUUCACAGCAUCUAUUAAAUGCAUACUCAGUCACAAAAAUAAAACCCAUCUGUUUAAUAUUAACAUUUGUAAUAAACAUUUUAAAAAAAGGAAUGUAGAAGGCAAAAAUGUAUUGUAAAACAAAAUGUACACUCUUG